rnacentral:lncRNA from 1 species
UGUGUGUGUGUGUGUGUGUGUAUUUGUAUGUGUAUUAUGUGUGUGUUUGUGUGAAUGUGUGUAAAAAUAACAAUGAAUGAAAAGGAAGUAACUGGGGACAUAGGAAGGAUUGGAAGAAGGAGAAGGGGUAGAAGAGGAAAAUGAUGUGAACAAUACACAAAUACAAAAUUUUUAAUUUAAUUUAAUUUGAAAAAUAACGUUUUGUAUAUUGCUAUUAAUUUUGUUUAAAACCCAUCAAAGGCUAAGAGCAUUCUAAUUUUACUUUAUAUCUCAUAUUUUAUAUAUUUUUAUGCUCACAUCAUGCUAUAUACAUUAAAAUGUUCAUUAAAUUUGUUUUAAUAUCAAUAUGAAAAAAUAUUGAGGAAAUAAAUCAAGAAUAUAUUUCCCUCCCUCCUUCUCACCAUAAACUCUUCAAUCAUAAAUUGCUUUUAUCUAGUGAGUUCCUUGUCACAUUUUCUGAAUUAGUCCAAAAGCAUAGUAUUGGGCUUGACAAAAAGCCACAGAAGAAGCAGCAUUCAGAUUUCGGUUGGAGUUACACCAUCUGGAUUCCGGGCGUAGAAAUAUAUCCAAGGGAAAUUUCAUGAAAAUGGACCAUAGGGGAAAGAAAACUCUGUAUUGUUAAUCUUUCGGGAAAACAAUGGAACUAAAAUAAAGAUGGUGUAUUUUUCCAGUGUAAUGAACCUCGACAGUUGCCAUUGUGGCUGCCAGAGCGCAUUUGAUUGCCAGUUGUUAAAUGAGCCUGUAUCUCAAAAAGUGGAAAUAUAUCACUCAGCAGAGCGGCAGACAGAUGAUGUUUGCUUUAGAGACUGAGAUUAAACCAUUGCUAUCAGGAAGGGCAGUUUUCCAAAAACCAGGGUUUCAGUACAUCCCUUAGCUAGUAGGUAGAAACUGCUGUUCCCUCCACAUUCUUUCUUUUCCGAUGUACCCAGAUUCAAGUGUUCCAGUGGCCCUUUGCUGAAAGAUGUGAAGACAACUGCAUCUCACAGAACAUUUCGAAGCUAUCAGAGGCAACUAAGAAGCCAUGCUAUGCCUCCCUUUAUUCUAUUCUGGCGGUGUUUCCAUUAGAUUUUUUUUAAUUAAAAGAAAAAUGCUCUGGUCACUAGUCAACGGAAAGUUAAAUGCCCUGAAAUGCUUUCAUCAAGUUAUUCAUACUCUCAAGGUAUCUAUGUCUCCAUCUAGAGGAAAAGGAACCCACAAAGGCUAUUUAUAAGUUCUCUGUAGGUGAAAAUGAAUGCCCAAUAUAAUUGCAGAAGGGAAUCAAAGAUAAGUGUUCCCCUAAAUAGCUCCUUUCUUCCUGCCUGAGGCCCGUUUCCGACAUUAGAGUCACCGAUGGCUUAGAGCACUGGUGUGUUAGUUUCUGACAUUAGAGUCACCGAUGGGUUAGAGCACUGGUGUAUUAGUUACGUUCUCAGUACUAUGAUCAAAUACUUAGCCAAAGCAUCUUCAGUAAGGAAAUGUUGAUGUUGGCUCAUAGAGGAUUCAACCAACCACGGUGAAGUAGUUAUGAUGGCAUUAAACCAGCAGUCAGGAAGCAGAGAGUAGGGGAGGGAUGUUGCUGCUCAACUCUCAUUGUCCUUUAUUCGGCCCAGGGCAUUUCCCUAUAAGAUGAUGUCAUUCAUAUUUACAGUGUAACUUCCCACUUUCAUGAACCUGGUCUAGAAAGAAACUCCUUCACAGUCAUGAUUAGGCGUUGGCCUCCUAGAUGAUUCUAGAUCCUACCAAAUUGAUUAUGAGUAUUAACCAUGUAAUAUUCACCAUGUGGUAUUUACAUUUUUUCAAAACCUUCUUUUCAAAAUUAUCUUAACUGCAAAUCCAAUAAACAUAAGAAGGGUCUAGGAGGCCUCUGGGACUCACCAAACCUGAACCCUCCAGUGAUUUUUUUUCCUUAACAAGAAAUUUCUACUUUGAAGGCCCAAAAACCAUGUUGGCAUGGUUUAACAGUGAAGCAGCACAAACAUUUCUAUGAGUCAUCAAAUGACUGUUUUCUGUUAAGCAUCUCACAUGGGCCCUGUCUGGUCUUUUUUUUUUUUUUUUUUUUUUUAUCAUGCUUCACUAUAUUUGCUAUUAGAAUCAAUUGUGACUCAAAAAGAGAUUAUACAUUUGUCUUGGUAAUUAAGUAAGGAUUCAAACUUAGAUCCCCAUCUUUGAAACUGACUCCCGUAACCUUUAGAAAGAUAUGAAGAAGUGGAAUAAGCCUGAAAGCCAUGUGCACCAAUUGUGUACCAGGUAGGCUGAUUUCUACUCCUGAAUCUAGAGAUAUCAACUGUGCAACAAGAGCUGACAUCCUCACCUUUGCUAUGAUUAUUCUUUUUUACUUUCUAGUAUUUACCUUACAAAUUUUGUGCAAUCAUAUCACUUAGACAUUAUUUGAAUGAAACUACAGUCUUAAUUUAUUAACAUGUAAGCCAAAUAGCAUAACAUUUCCAUUUUAAACUGUGUAAUUCAAGAACUGGUCUUUAGCAAGUGCAUGCUCAAAGCACUGGGUUUAAUCUUCUACACUAUGGCAAAACAAGCAAACAAAAAAAAAAUACUUAAGAGAUGUGAAAUUCAGUGUAUUUUUGUGUAUUUGGAGUUGUGCAAUCAUCAAUAUUAUUAAAUUUUGAACAUUUUCUUCACCUUAGAAAAAAAUCCUCUACCCAUCAGUGAUCAUACACUCUUUGAUUGCCACCACAGCCUAUUGAAAGGCUAACCUACUUUCAUUCCUCCCACAUUUGCCUCUUAUGUGUGCUCAAUAUUAUGCCUUUUGGGUCUGACUUCUGUUAUUCAGAUAAAUACCAUCAGUCCCUUAAACACUGUUUCCCAGCCUUAAAAAUAAAGAGGAGUGUUGAAUUAUAUCUAUAAAGAUGAGAUGAUUCACAAAAUGUUUAGCAUAAUGAUCAGGGCAUGAAUGGUCUAAGAAAUGUCUGAGCCUUUGUAGUUUGUGCCUGUCAUCCUAGCUAUUAUGUUGCCUAGGCAGAGAGAUUACAAAUUGGAGACCAGCAUAGGAUACAUAGUGAUUUGGAUGGAGGAUAGUUUGUGCUACACAAGGAGAUCCUGUCCAAAUUAACAAACAGAAAAC